rnacentral:rRNA from 21 species
AAAUUGAAGAGUUUGAUCAUGGCUCAGAUUGAACGCUGGCGGCAGGCCUAACACAUGCAAGUCGAACGGUAACAGGAAGCAGCUUGCUGCUUUGCUGACGAGUGGCGGACGGGUGAGUAAUGUCUGGGAAACUGCCUGAUGGAGGGGGAUAACUACUGGAAACGGUGGCUAAUACCGCAUAACGUCGCAAGACCAAAGAGGGGGACCUUCGGGCCUCUUGCCAUCAGAUGUGCCCAGAUGGGAUUAGCUAGUUGGUGAGGUAACGGCUCACCAAGGCGACGAUCCCUAGCUGGUCUGAGAGGAUGACCAGCCACACUGGAACUGAGACACGGUCCAGACUCCUACGGGAGGCAGCAGUGGGGAAUAUUGCACAAUGGGCGCAAGCCUGAUGCAGCCAUGCCGCGUGUAUGAAGAAGGCCUUCGGGUUGUAAAGUACUUUCAGCGGGGAGGAAGGUGUUGUGGUUAAUAACC